GACAGAGGUGCCAAGCGUUUAGGCGGAAUCACUGGGCUUAAAGCGUGUGUAGGCGGAUCGUUAAGUGCCUUGUGAAAUCCCACGGCUUAACCGUGGAACUGCUCGGCAUACUGGCGGUCUUGAGCAACCUAGGGGCGAGCGGAACAAAUGGUGGAGCGGUGAAAUGCGUAGAUAUCAUUUGGGAACGCCAAUGGUGAAAACAGCUCGCUGGGGGUUUGCUGACGCUGAGACACGAAAGCCAGGGGAGCGAAC
rnacentral:rRNA from 1 species